UAGGAAGUUGCGGCGUGCCUAUACAUGCAGUCGAGCGCAGGAAGCCGUCUGAACCCUUCGGGGGGACGACGGUGGAAUGAGCGGCGGACGGGUGAGUAACACGUAAAGAACCUGCCCAUAGGUCUGGGAUAACCACGAGAAAUCGGGGCUAAUACCGGAUGUGUCAUCGGACCGCAUGGUCCGCUGAUGAAAGGCGCUCCGGCGUCGCCCAUGGAUGGCUUUGCGGUGCAUUAGCUAGUUGGUGGGGUAACGGCCCACCAAGGCGACGAUGCAUAGCCGACCUGAGAGGGUGAUCGGCCACACUGGGACUGAGACACGGCCCAGACUCCUACGGGAGGCAGCAGUAGGGAAUCUUCCACAAUGGACGAAAGUCUGAUGGAGCAACGCCGCGUGAACGAUGAAGGCUUUCGGGUCGUAAAGUUCUGUUGUAAGGGAAGAACAAGUGCCGCAGGCAAUGGCGGCACCUUGACGGUACCUUGC
rnacentral:rRNA from 1 species